rnacentral:lncRNA from 1 species
AGCUAGUGGGUCCCCAGAUACCUAAGUGGUCUUACUGGAUAGAAAUAAAAAUAUUAGCUUGUGCUUGAGUAGCUCUGCUAAACAAAUAGUGUAGACCCAGCUCUACCAUCUUAUUUUAGUAAUGGGAAUAAAAGAAAACAAGAUAUGAUUGUGAGAAGACAACCAUCUACUGUGGGACCAUGGCUACACUAACAAUUUCAACUAAUGCCCAACAGUUACCUUUUAGGUUAGGUGACUGUGAUGGACUUGCCUCUGGUGGUGUUGUCAACCUGAAGCUGACCCUUUCUUAGAGUUGCUGACAAUUAGAUUAAGGUUUCAGAUCAGGAUUUUCACAAGCCUUCAAGGAGCAGAUAUUUUUAAGGACAAACUAAGUCGUGGUCAUGGCACAUUCACAAAAUAUCAUCAUCAUCUCAGCAUCCUUAGCAUUUUAAGUUUAUUAUACUUGGAAGUAAAGAGGAGUUUCACAGAAUCCCUUCAGAUCACAAUCAAAUACUCUGGAGAAAAUCAGUGGCAGAAGAGUGCAACUUAAGAAUUUCUACAUCAAUUUUACAUUUGCAUGAAGCAAAUAAAUAAAUAGAAUACUAAGGUAACUGAAAUUGG